rnacentral:rRNA from 1 species
GGAGGAUCCAAGCGUUAUCCGGAAUCAUUGGGUUUAAAGGGUCCGUAGGCGGUUUGGUAAGUCAGUGGUGAAAGCCCAUCGCUCAACGGUGGAACGGCCAUUGAUACUGCCAGACUUGAAUUAUUAGGAAGUAACUAGAAUAUGUAGUGUAGCGGUGAAAUGCUUAGAGAUUACAUGGAAUACCAAUUGCGAAGGCAGGUUACUACUAAUGGACUGACGCUGAUGGACGAAAGCGUGGGUAGCGAACAGGAUUAGAUACCCUGGUAGUCCACGCCGUAAACGAUGGAUACUAGCUGUUGGGGGCAACUUCAGUGGCUAAGCGAAAGUGAUAAGUAUCCCACCUGGGGAGUACGUUCGCAAGAAUG